rnacentral:rRNA from 1 species
GACGAACGCGGCGGCGUGCCUAAUACAUGCAAGUCGAACGCUUCUUUCCUCCCGAGUGCUUGCGCUCAAUUGGAAAGAGGAGUGGCGGACGGGUGAGUAACACGUGGGUAACCUACCCAUCAGAGGGGGAUAACACUUGGAAACAGGUGCUAAUACCGCAUAACAGUUUAUGCCGCAUGGCAUAAGAGUGAAAGGCGCUUUCGGGUGUCGCUGAUGGAUGGACCCGCGGUGCAUUAGCUAGUUGGUGAGGUAACGGCUCACCAAGGCCACGAUGCAUAGCCGACCUGAGAGGGUGAUCGGCCACACUGGGACUGAGACACGGCCCAGACUCCUACGGGAGGCAGCAGUAGGGAAUCUUCGGCAAUGGACGAAAGUCUGACCGAGCAACGCCGCGUGAGUGAAGAAGGUUUUCGGAUUCGUAAAACUUC